AGAUAAUGAAAAAAUUGGGCUUAAAUUUCCAAUAAAGGAAGUUUAAUUCUUGCUAAUCUUAUCGCUAUCAGAAGACAAAGAUCAUUGUUAGAGACAAUGAGGAGGAGGUAUCAUGCAAGAUUCUUACAUUACAUCCUGGUCUGAAGAAACUUCCAGUUCCCUACAUUUCUGUGCAAGAACUACAGGUUUCUAUAUCAUGCAUUAUUUGAGGACCAUUGUAGUCUCAUCUCUAUUCCACCUCAACAGAAGACGAUCAAGACUCAAAACUCGAGCUGGUGCAAUGCACUGUCCAUUGAUGCAUGGAAUGGGCCAGUCUAAGUUAGCCAAGGGCGUCUGUAACGGAAUACCACUGUCCUCCCGGCCAAUUAAAGUUUUUCGGUAAGCGGCCCUUUUGACAGUCAUUGUGUGCUGAUGUGACACCUGAAUAUGGCGCCAAACAUCGUAGAUGAAUCUGUUUAAUGAUAUAGCGGAGGUUCAUUUGAUAGUGGUGAAUGAUGCAAUUGGUAGAUAGCUCAGUUCAAAUGUGCAAGAAUAGACCCCCAAAAAAUAAUGUCUUCAAUACCAACAAAGAGACAGUUGAUCACUUCAUAAUAGGGGAGCGGAAGACUGAAAUUUCCCGAACUUGACACUGUAGCUCGGUGGGUCGGCGCAGAGAACAGAGGAGAAUAUCGGGUCCCGAUCACACGGUUAUGCUGGUACCACUCCAGCCAGUGAAGGAAGCCACCACCUCAACCAAUGGAGGAAGUCACCACCACAGUUAAUGGAGGAAGCUCAGAUUGAUUGGAGGAGAUGAUGGUAGUGACUGAAGAAUGAGAGCCUGGUCACAGUCUUUUUUAGCUAACCUGAACCAUGAGGCUAGGUCAAAACAGUUGUCUUUUGAUAC